rnacentral:rRNA from 1 species
UGGGGAAUUUUGGACAAUGGGCGAAAGCCUGAUCCAGCAAUGCCGCGUGUGUGAAGAAGGCCUUCGGGUUGUAAAGCACUUUUGUCCGGAAAGAAAUCCUUGGCUCUAAUACAGUCGGGGGAUGACGGUACCGGAAGAAUAAGCACCGGCUAACUACGUGCCAGCAGCCGCGGUAAUACGUAGGGUGCAAGCGUUAAUCGGAAUUACUGGGCGUAAAGCGUGCGCAGGCGGUUUGCUAAGACCGAUGUGAAAUCCCCGGGCUCAACCUGGGAACUGCAUUGGUGACUGGCAGGCUAGAGUAUGGCAGAGGGGGGUAGGAAUUCCACGUGUAGCAGUGAAAAUGCGUAGAGAUGUGGAGGAAUACCGAUGGCGAAGGCAGCCCCCUGGGCCAAUACUGACGCUCAUGCACGAAAAGCGUGGGGGAGCAAAACAGGAUUAGAUACCCCUGGUAGUCCACGCCCCUAAAACGAUGUCAACUAGUUGUUGGGGAUUCAUUUCCUUAGUAACGUAGCUAACGCGUGAAGUUGACCGCCUGGGGAGUACGGUCGCAAGAUUAAAAACUUAAAGGAAUUGAC